rnacentral:tRNA from 1 species
CGUUAGCUCAGUGGGUAGAGCAGUUGAUUUUUAAUCAAUUGGUCGCUGGUUCGAGCGAAGCGAGACGACAA